ACUAAUCUGAGGUUGUACCACUUGGAAACAAGUUGGAACACCAAAGAACAAGAAAGCUAGGGGAACAGCAACCAAAAAAAAAGUGGGACAUGUAUUAUCCUGUCUCGGGCGCUCGGACAUCUCCGCAGAGAGCGAGCUACGAUGUUGAACUACAGAUCCAAAGAUUUGGAAGAAGGAAAAUGUUUGAUUGGGGCGGUGGUGGGGUGGGAUUUUGCUUCUACAUAACUUCUCCAUAUCUGUAACCUAUUGUUAUUGAACAACUACAAAAAAGAGUGAUGUAGAAGACAGAAAUGUUUUGUUGAUUGGAAAAGAGAAAAGAGAGAUUUAAUGUAAGUUUAGUAUUCAGCUGUUGUUGGUUUACAAGCGGAAUCUAAUGGAACAUAUGUAUGGUGAAUUUAAGUUUGCAUUUAUCG